UACAGAGGUGGCGAGCGUUGUUCGGAUUUACUGGGCGUAAAGGGCGCGUAGGCGGCCGGACGUGUCGGGUGUGAAAUCCAUGGGCCCAACCCAUGAAGUGCGCCCGAAACUGUCCGGCUCGAGAGCGGGAGGGGAGAUCGGAAUGCAUGGUGUAGCGGUGAAAUGCGUUGAUAUCAUGCAGAACACCGGUGGCGAAGGCGGAUCUCUGGAACGCAUCUGACGCUGAGGCGCGAAAGCAGGGGGAGCAAACAGG
rnacentral:rRNA from 1 species